UACGGGAGGCAGCAGUGGGGAAUAUUGCACAAUGGGCGCAAGCCUGAUGCAGCCAUGCCGCGUGUAUGAAGAAGGCCUUCGGGUUGUAAAGUACUUUCAGUCGUGAGGAAGGUGUUAAGGUUAAUAACCUUAGCAAUUGACGUUAGCGACAGAAGAAGCACCGGCUAACUCCGUGCCAGCAGCCGCGGUAAUACGGAGGGUGCGAGCGUUAAUCGGAAUUACUGGGCGUAAAGGGCACGCAGGCGGUUAAUUAAGUUGGAUGUGAAAUCCCCGGGCUUAACCUGGGAAUGGCAUUCAAGACUGGUUAGCUAGAGUCUUGUAGAGGGGGUAGAAUUCCAUGUGUAGCGGUGAAAUGCGUAGAGAUGUGGAGGAAUACCGGUGGCGAAGGCGGCCCCUGGGACAAAGGCUGACGCUCAUGUGCGAAAGCGU
rnacentral:rRNA from 1 species